UUAGGAAUAUUCGGCAAUGGGGGAAACCCUGACCGAGCGAUGCCGCGUGAGUGAUGAAGGUUCUAUGAAUUGUAAAACUCUGUUGUAUGGGAAGAACGGUUAGUAUAGGAAAUGAUACUAGCGUGACGGUACCAUGCCAGAAAGCUCCGGCUAACUACGUGCCAGCAGCCGCGGUAAUACGUAGGGAGCGAGCGUUAUCCGGAUUUAUUGGGCGUAAAGCGUGUGUAGACGGUUUAUUAAGUAUAAGAUUAAAACCUGAGGCUCAACCUCAGUUCGUCUUAUAAACUGAUAGGCUUGAGUAUAGUAGAGGCAAGUGGAAUUUCUAGUGUAGCGGUUAAAUGUGUAGAUAUUAGAAGGAACACCAGUGGCGAAGGCGACUUGCUGGACUAUCACUGACGUUGAGGCACGAAAGCGUGGGGAGCAAAUAGG
rnacentral:rRNA from 2 species